UACGAGUGGCCCAAGCGUUAUCCGGAAUUAUUGGGCGUAAAGGAUGUGUAGGUGGUCGUAUUAGUCUGGUGUCUAACCUCUGAGCUUAACUUGGAGACAGCAUUGGAAACGGUACGGCUAGAGUAUGUUAGGGGUAAGCGGAACUCAUAGUGUAGGGGUGAAAUGCGCAGAUAUCAGGAGGAACACCGGUGGCGAAGGCGGUUCUCUGGGCAUUACCUGACGCUGAGGAGCGAAAGUGUGGGGAGCGAACAGG
rnacentral:rRNA from 1 species